ensembl:lncRNA
AUGAAAAUGGGAACUGAUGAGCAAGGCCUGGACAUGUUUCCACAUCUACUGUGUUCAUGUUUGUUAAUGCAAGUCAGCCCUGCACAGAGAUCUACCACCUGGACCAAGAAAAAUGAACAUCUGAGGAUUGAGACUUCACCCUUCAAGAAAGAAACACUAGCCGAUGAGUUGCUGACAAUUUGGAUGCCAAGGGUUCUAAGUGUAAUGGGCCAUCCACUCUGCAAGAACAAAGAAAAAUACAAUUUCAAGAGAGCUGAAGUUCCUCUAAGAGAGAAAGAUUUCCCCAGAAUGAAAGUAAGUCAGAAGAAAGCAACUGAGAAGGAGGAGGUGAACAGGGACAGAAGCCUUAUCCCAGAAAGUCAGCUUAACAAAGGACAAUUCUGAAGGGAAUGGGUUAAAGGCAGUAAGUAAAAGUUUUAAACAGCAAUGACUCUGAAGCCAGCCUCCCUUGGAUCAGACCCCAGUUUCGCUAUUUACUAGUUUUGUGACCCUUGACAAGUUACUGAAUCUCUGUGCUACUCAACCGCUACCUCAGUUUUCCCUUCUAUAAAGUAAGAAUAAUAUUAACAUCUCCCUUAUCUGGUUCUGAGGGUUAAAUGAAUUGAUACCCAUUAAGUCAUUAGGAUAGUGCCUGGUUCAGAGUGUUUAGUAGGUGUCAGUCCUUAUUACACAUAUGGUAUUUGACCUCUUUUGAAUUGGGUGGGGCCAUAUCAUUAUCUGCCCAAAGCAGAAAUAUGUCCCAUGACCUGCUCUCACAUCUUGUGCUUGCUCCAGCAAAUCAUCCUAUUGAAACUCAGAAAGGACUCAUUCCAGAAGAAUCCAACUGCACCCCUGUAGCCUCCCAGCAGGAACAGCUUAUGGCCAUACCGCAAGAGUUCUGCUGUGCCCCUUUCAUAAUUCCAAGAACAGAAAGUCUAUUUAACUCAGAAGCCAAAUGAUUUAACAGCUGAAACCCUAGAGCCCCUUUCUUCUGGCCCCCACUUCCAUUUCACUCAGUUCCCUCAUCUGAAAAAUAAAACCACCACCCACCUCACAGUAUCAUGAUGAGCUCCUUUUUAUUAAAUGAUAGAACAAAUAAAAAGGAGCUAGCACAGUGCCUGACAUACAGUAGAUAGUUUAAAAAUACAAUUGUCUCUCGAUAUCUGUAUGGAUUGGUUCCAGAACCUCCCUCAGAUCCCAAAAUCAGCAAUGCUAGAGUCCUUGAUGUAAAGGGUGUAAGAUUUGUAGGUGUCAUCCUAUGCACAUCCUCCUAUAUAGUUCACAUCAUCUCUAGAUUACUUAUAAUACCUAAUACAAUGUAAAUGCUAUAUAAAUAGUUGUAUAGCGAAUAAUGACAAAAAAUCUGUACAUGGUCACUACUGAUACAUUUCUUUUCAAAUAUUUUUGAUCUGCAGUUUCUUGAAUCCAUGGUGUGGAACCCAUGGGUACAGAGGGCCGAUUAUAUUCAUUUCUUUCCUUCUUUCCUUAAGCUACAGACAGCCCUUACUAAACACUCUUAAGGGACUAAUGGCUUAAGGUAAAAAGCCUAGUGGGAAGUGGGGAAUUAGUUCUGUCAUUAAGCCACUGCUGCCUAUACCAUAUCUACUGAUUUAUUCUUUCCCCAAAUGCGUGUUUUUCUUAAUGUAGAUAGGUCAGAAAGAAUGACUUCAAUAUAGGAAUUAAAUGAGUAUAAUAAUAGUAAUAAUCAC